UGUAUGCACUUGCUGUAAGUUGCUCUGGAUAAGAGCAUCUGCUAAAUGAUUAAAA
rfam:Salmo salar isolate Sally breed double haploid chromosome ssa27, whole genome shotgun sequence.